GAUGAACGCUGGCGGCGUGCUUAACACAUGCAAGUCGAACGGAAAGGCCCAAGCUUGCUUGGGUACUCGAGUGGCGAACGGGUGAGUAACACGUGGGUGAUCUGCCCUGCACUUCGGGAUAAGCCUGGGAAACUGGGUCUAAUACCGGAUAGGACCACUUCUUGGAUGUUGUGGUGGAAAGUUUUUUCGGUGUGGGAUGAGCUCGCGGCCUAUCAGCUUGUUGGUGGGGUAAUGGCCUACCAAGGCGUCGACGGGUAGCCGGCCUGAGAGGGUGUACGGCCACAUUGGGACUGAGAUACGGCCCAGACUCCUACGGGAGGCAGCAGGGGGGAAUAUUGCACAAUGGGCGCAAGCCUGAUGCAGCGACGCCGCGUGGGGGAUGACGGCCUUCGGGUUGUAAACUCCUUUCGCUAGGGACGAAGCGUUUUGUGACGGUACCUGGAGAAGAAGCACCGGCUAACUGCGUG
rnacentral:rRNA from 1 species